rnacentral:tRNA from 1 species
UGUCGUAGAGCUCGUCUGGUAGAGCGCCGUCGUGACAUGGCGGAGGUUCUGGGUUCGAAUCCCAGUACGGCAA